GUAGGUGGCAAGCGUUGUCCGGAAUUAUUGGGCGUAAAGCGCGCGCAGGCGGUUCUUUAAGUCUGAUGUGAAAGCCCACGGCUCAACCGUGGAGGGUCAUUGGAAACUGGAGAACUUGAGUACAGAAGAGGAAAGCGGAAUUCCACGUGUAGCGGUGAAAUGCGUAGAGAUGUGGAGGAACACCAGUGGCGAAGGCGGCUUUCUGGUCUGUAACUGACGCUGAGGCGCGAAAGCGUGGGGAGCAAACAGGAUUAGAUACCCUGGUAGUCCACGCCGUAAACGAUGAGUGCUAAGUGUUAGGGGGGUUUCCGCCCCCCUUAGUGCUGCAGCUAACGCAUUAAGCACUCCGCCUGGGAGUACGGCCGCAAGGCUG
rnacentral:rRNA from 1 species